rnacentral:rRNA from 1 species
GGUGAGUAACACGUGGGCAACCUGCCCUGCAGACUGGGAUAACUUCGGGAAACCGGAGCUAAUACCGGAUAACACCGAAAACCGCAUGGUUUUCGGUUGAAAGGCGGCUUUUAGCUGUCACUGCAGGAUGGGCCCGCGGCGCAUUAGCUAGUUGGUGAGGUAACGGCUCACCAAGGCGACGAUGCGUAGCCGACCUGAGAGGGUGACCGGCCACACUGGGACUGAGACACGGCCCAGACUCCUACGGGAGGCAGCAGUAGGGAAUCUUCCGCAAUGGACGAAAGUCUGACGGAGCAACGCCGCGUGAGCGAAGAAGGUCUUCGGAUCGUAAAGCUCUGUUGUCAGGGAAGAACAAGUACCGUUCGAACAGGGCGGUACCUUGACGGUACCUGACGAGGAAGCCACGGCUAACUACGUGCCAGCAGCCGCGGUAAUACGUAGGUGGCAAGCGUUGUCCGGAAUUAUUGGGCGUAAAGCGCGCGCAGGCGGUUCCUUAAGUCUGAUGUGAAAUCUCGCGGCUCANCCGCGAGCGGCCAUUGNAAACUGGGGAACUUGAGUGCAGGAGAGGGGAGCGGAAUUCCACGUGUAGCGGUGAAAUGCGUAGAGAUGUGGAGGAACACCAGUGGCGAANGCGGCUCUCUGGCCUGUAACUGACGCUGANGCGCGAAAGCGUGGGGAGCGAACAGGAUUAGAUACCCUGGUAGUCCACGCC